rnacentral:rRNA from 1 species
GGGCUCGAACGUAAGAUGACUGUAGGUGAAAGCUUACAUCUCUUCGGAGCAUUUUACGAGGUGCUGCAUGGUUGUCGUCAGCUCGUGCCGUGAGGUGUCGGGUUAAGUCCCAUAACGAGCGCAACCCCUACCUUUAGUUGCCAUCAGGUUAAGCUGGGGACUCUAAAGGAACUGCCUACGCAAGUAGUGAGGAAGGCGGGGAUGACGUCAAAUCAGCACGGCCCUUACGUCCAGGGCUACACACGUGCUACAAUGGCCGAUACAGAGGGCAGCUACCUGGUGACAGGAUGCAAAUCUCCAAAGUCGGUCUCAGUUCGGAUCGGAGUCUGCAACCCGACUCCGUGAAGUUGGAUUCGCUAGUAAUCGCGCAUCAGCCAUGGCGCGGUGAAUACGUUCCCGGGCCUU